UACGAAGGGGGCUAGCGUUGUUCGGAUUUACUGGGCGUAAAGCGCACGUAGGCGGGUCGUUAAGUCAGGGGUGAAAUCCCGGAGCUCAACUCCGGAACUGCCUUUGAUACUGGCGAGCUUGAGUCCGGGAGAGGUGAGUGGAACUGCGAGUGUAGAGGUGAAAUUCGUAGAUAUUCGCAAGAACUCCAGUGGCGAAGGCGG
rnacentral:rRNA from 1 species